UCUGGGGUGUACAGCAGCUCUGUUGCUCCUGUGGUGUCCCAGGGCUCCAGCUCCUUCUCCCACAGCGCUGCAGCUACAACAACUGCUCCAUACAGUACUGAUGCCUCCACUGACUACAGCCAGUACAACCAGGCCUACACACAGGAAGCCAUGCAGCAGUGGUACCAGCACUACCAAGCAGCACAAGCUCAUACCUACAAUGCUGCUGCUCCACAGGACAACACAGCCACAGACUACAGCAAGGAGCACACACAGGCUCCACCAGUGUCAACCUACGGGGAUUACAGUUCCUACAUGCAGGCGGUCACUCAGUACUACUCCCAACCUGCAACAGCCAACCAGGCCUACGCCA